rnacentral:lncRNA from 1 species
AUGUUCGGGGAUAUGCAAAGUCUCAAAAUUUACCUGGCGGGCAUUUUUCUUCAGGACACGACUGCUGGAAAAAUUCAGGAAACAGGAACGCAGGAUACCAGAACAGCAGGGAAUCCGAUAAGGAGAGAGGAGACCCGCGGCAGAAGGCUGGUGGAGCGAGAUCCCAGGACCACGGCGCUAUACAAGGAGAAAGAAUUUUGGAAAAAGAUUCCACCAGAGAGUUUCCGAUGGCACGUUGAAAGUGAACUAACGCCCUGCUAUCUGUGGUGCAUAUGAAUUCUUAUUUGAAAACUAUAACUAUUGGGGUUAACAAAGACUCUGCGCCUGCCAAGGUCAAGUUUAGUUAUGAGAAUCUGCUAUGAACAUCUCACCAUAGGAAAAGGUCAUUCUUUAUGUCCUCAACUUGCUGAAGGAAGAAAUUCCAGAGAGGUAAUCUCUGCUUCCUGACUAUGAAGGAGAAAGAUGUCUUGGAGGCAGGUCUUUCCUGGCGAAUGUUAAGAUGGCGAUCUUCGUGAAGAAGUAACCUUGCAGUUAAGAAAGGAUGAACCAUGGAAAGGUGCACUGGAAGAUGCCCAGUCCUUCUUAAACACCUUGUAUCGGUUUCAUUCUAGUUUUUCUUGGUAUUUUAUGAUACUUUCUGAAAAGUUCAUAUUGAAAAAGAAGUUAAAGUAUCUUUACUGUCAGACAAAUGAUAGUGUAUGAAGAGCAUCCUAAGAAAUCUACAAAAGCUACUAGAACUAAUAAGUGAGUUUAACAAGGUUGCAAGAAAAAAGUUGAAAAAUAAAGAUUAAUUACAUUUGUAUAUAUUACA